rnacentral:rRNA from 1 species
GACGAACGCUGGCGGCGUGCUUAACACAUGCAAGUCGAGCGGUAAGGCCCUUUCGGGGGUACGACGAGCGGCGAACGGGUAGAGUAACACGUGGGUGGACCUGCCCUCCAGCUCUGGGAGUAAGCCUCGGGAAACCGGGUCUAAUACCGGAUAUGACUCCAUGACGCAUGUUGGUGGGGUGGAAAGCCUUGUGCGGCUGAGGAU